rnacentral:misc_RNA from 1 species
GCUAGACCCUGUCUGCCAGAGAAGUCCUGGAAAACUGAAUUUCUCUGCAUAGUAUUUGUCUGCUGAGGGUUCUCCAUAUUUAUUGCAUUAAUAAGAGAUUGACUUGGAGCAUGUCCAAAAAAGUUGCCGUCUAGGGAUCUCUGUCUAGGAAUGAAAGUCCCAUCCUGCAUAGUGGCUUGAUCCUGCAGUCCAGCAUACUGAUUAACCGGAAAUGAACUAUCAAUGUUUGGCAUUGGCUGCUUUGUGGUCUUAUCAGCUAUUCCUUGUGAGAAUGGGUUCACACUUCCUCUAGAACCAGAAACAGGAACUCCAUAUAGAGAUUGGUCAGCCGAUAGAGGAAUUAUGUGUUGUGCCUGUCCAAUGUUUGUCGGAUUCAGUCCAUUGGGACAUCCCUGAAUGAUUGGAGAGCCAUGUUGCAACCAAUUUGUGUUG